rfam:Ictidomys tridecemlineatus contig079200, whole genome shotgun sequence.
GGGGCUGGGGCUCAGUGGUAGAGCGCUUGCCUUGCAUGCAUGAAGCACUGAAUUCGAUCCUCAGCAUCACAU